AUCCUUUCAGCGAUCUCCGAACUACAUAACUAUAAACAUUAGUUAUUAAAUAUAGCAACACACCCAUAAAGAAACGUUAGUAUUUGGAUUUAAAAUACGAAGUGGAAUAUAAUAACUCUAUCUGGCACAAUAAGACGAAAAAUUAAUGGAAGCAGAGAGGAAUGAGCAGGGUGGCAAACCGUACCGUGUAGUCCCAGACUAGAGUGGCUCCCUGGGCAGCGGCGUCGUGUGAUCGCGGCAUCCGUGUUUUCUUUGAUUUUUCUGUGAUUUGUGCGUUGUGACCUACGCUCGGCUCCUCUUACCCCUGCCGGUUGAUAGGGUGAGUGGAGGAUAGACAACAGCAUUCCAGGGACACAGUUUGCUCUGCGUUCCCGUCCUGGUCUCGAUGUCAACUGUCUGAUGAUAAUGAGCAGUGCGACAACGUGGCUACAACAACACUGAGUAUGAAAUGGUCCCGGGACAGCAUGAAGCCAUUGAGCGCGCCACGAACCAAAGUUGUCCAAUUAUUAGCUCACAAGAUAGCGCCAGCAGACGAGGCCAGGCGUGCGGGAUAUCGAGGCACGUGGCGAAGACAGUAAUGCUGCCGUGCCUGAGUCCCCGCGUCGACUGCAAGAUAAAGGAAUGGAGUGCUGGCAAUACUGUCAGGGCGAAAUAAGACAAGACAAACCUGUAUCAUCACCAACACUUCCAAGGUACGAGAUUCACUUGCGAGUCGAAACAGAGUGAAUCACGAGUGAAACCGAAUCGACUCCCUCAGGAUGGUCAGUGGUGUUCAUACCACACCACAGAGCAGCUGCCUCACCACGGCCUGCUGCAGAGCAAGUGACUGACGGCUACCUGCAAAGCCAUGAGGAACCUGGCCUCUUACCCGGUCCUCAUUUCGAGUUAUGUUGAGAUGCCACACAUUCCUGUUGAAGUAUCGAGCAAUGCACCAGCCACACAACUGCAGCAGCUGUCUUGGCUUCAUGGCUCCUCAGCACACAGAGAUGUGAAGGCUCCUGCCACAGUUUAUUAUGGUUGGUAGGAAAGGCAACCCAUAGUUCAGGGUAGAUGUGUGCAGGGCUUCAUUCUCCUAUAAUAAAAUGCCAAUUAUCAUUACUAUUACAACUACUAUCAUUAUUACAGUCUAUCUAUAUACCAGGUUGGCAUUCCCACACAGAAUGACCCUGACAAAGCAACAUAUUGUUAAGAUAAUUUGGUUAAUAUACUCAGCUCACAUCUUAGAAACCCUGAGUUUGUGUCCUGGGCUGCACAGUGACACACAGCACCCACAGCUGCUUCGGCUGCCCAAUGGAGUAUCCACAGCAGGUUUCUUUCUACUCUAAGUCACAUUUUUCUUCCCUUUAAAGUAUUUACCCAUGGCCAGUUCAGUAAGUUAGCUUUAGUGUAAAAGUAACAUCACUGUUACACUGCUAGAGAGUAUAUGUGACAUUAGCUGAUUAUGUAUGAAUUGCAAUGUAUGAACCAA